CAGUCGCCGCGGGAAUACGAAGGGUGCAAGCGUUAAUCGGAAUCACUGGGCGUAAAGCGUGCGUAGGCGGUGAGUUAAGUCUGCUGUGAAAUCCCCGGGCUCAACCUGGGAAUGGCAGUGGAUACUGGCUCGCUAGAGUGUGUCAGAGGAUGGUGGAAUUCCCGGUGUAGCGGUGAAAUGCGUAGAGAUCGGGAGGAACAUCAGUGGCGAAGGCGGCCAUCUGGGACAACACUGACGCUGAGGCACGAAAGCGUGGGGAGCAAACAGGAUUAGAUACCCCCGUAGUCCCUGUCUCUUAUAC
rnacentral:rRNA from 1 species